rnacentral:lncRNA from 1 species
GUCGCCCAGGCUGGAGUGCAGUGGCAUGAUCUCCACUCACUGCAAGCUCAGCUCCGCCUCCCAGGUUCAUGCCAUUCUCCUGCCCUCUGAGGGCAUUUCUACACAGCCUCACAGGGGUGACACCCAAGAGGCGAGAGGCGUGAUUCACGUGCUCCCUUUGCAGAGGUGGCUGCAGGGCCCCAGGCUCGGGCUACGGACAUGAAGAGGGGCCUCACAGGACUCCUAGCAGACAGGAAGCACCCGACUCUCAGGACUUCAGAGACAGCAGCGCUGACAGCAGCCACCUGUGAUCAAAUAUUCCUUUUGCUCCUUUUUCAGGCUUGGAGAGUCACUGCCAGAAGGCCACGUGCUUCCUGACAGCAUAGUGGCACAGGCUGUUAAGUCCUGGGAGAGAGAGGCAGGGCUGCCACCCCUCAAAGGACAGAGGGGAGGUGGCCUCAGAGCCCCACUCACAGCCCUGGGAACUUGAAUACCUCAAAGGCUGCAAAGACCUAGGCCCACACCCUGGCCACUCAGCCCCUGACACAACAGAAGCCCUCCUGGUCAUAUGGCUUUCAGAGAAAGGAGCCCAACUGCCACUGCUUUUCCCAACCCACUGUCCCCAUAGGAAUAGGAGGCUGAGAUGCUCCUGGGUGCUGAAUGGGAACCCCAGGCUAAAGGCGCAGAGGCAAGGCUGCAGGUGAUGAAAGUUGCAUGUCCUCCAAUCAGCCUUGCAAUCAGCCAUUCAUCCACUCACCCAAGACAAGUGGCAAUUCAAAAGCAGCUAACAUUUCUUAAGUGCC